GUACGUCACGGACUUGCUAUGUGGAGAGAGAAAUCACACGGGGGUCUUGCUGGAAGAAGAGAGACCAGUGCUGGGAUGCGACCUGCCUGCCCUCCAUCCCUGUGCUGCGGACAAGGCACAGAACAGCACUGGGCCCAUGGUGCCAUCUCCCCUGCCCGUGACUCUGCCACCAAGUCCACGAAGCAGCACCCAGCCGGCCCCAGACCCGGCUCCACGCCCCCCUCCGCCCCCAGUGCACCUGCCGCCGCU
rnacentral:sRNA from 1 species